rnacentral:rRNA from 1 species
AGUCGAACGAGCGAGAGAGAGCUUGCUUUCUCGAGCGAGUGGCGAACGGGUGAGUAACGCGUGAGGAACCUGCCUCAAAGAGGGGGACAACAGUUGGAAACGACUGCUAAUACCGCAUAAGCCCACGGUGCCGCAUGGCACAGGGGGAAAAGGAGCAAUCCGCUUUGAGAUGGCCUCGCGUCCGAUUAGCUAGUUGGUGAGGUAACGGCCCACCAAGGCGACGAUCGGUAGCCGGACUGAGAGGUUGAACGGCCACAUUGGGACUGAGACACGGCCCAGACUCCUACGGGAGGCAGCAGUGGGGAAUAUUGCACAAUGGGGGAAACCCUGAUGCAGCGACGCCGCGUGGAGGAAGAAGGUCUUCGGAUUGUAAACUCCUGUUGUUGGGGAAGAUAAUGACGGUACCCAACAAGGAAGUGACGGCUAACUACGUGCCAGCAGCCGCGGUAAAACGUAGGUCACAAGCGUUGUCCGGAAUUACUGGGUGUAAAGGGAGCGCAGGCGGGAAGACAAGUUGGAAGUGAAAUCUAUGGGCUCAACCCAUAAACUGCUUUCAAAACUGUUUUUCUUGAGUAGUGCAGAGGUAGGCGGAAUUCCCGGUGUAGCGGUGGAAUGCGUAGAUAUCGGGAGGAACACCAGUGGCGAAGGCGGCCUACUGGGCACCAACUGACGCUGAGGCUCGAAAGUGUGGGUAGCAAACAGGAUUAGAUACCCUGGUAGUCCACACCGUAAACGAUGAUUACUAGGUGUUGGAGGAUUGACCCCUUCAGUGCCGCAGUUAACACAAUAAGUAAUCCACCUGGGGAGUACGACCGCAAGGUUGAAACUCAAAGGAAUUGACGGGGGCCCGCACAAGCAGUGG